rnacentral:rRNA from 1 species
UGCAGUCGAGCGGUAGAGAGGUGCUUGCACCUCUUGAGAGCGGCGGACGGGUGAGUAAUGCCUAGGAAUCUGCCUGGUAGUGGGGGAUAACGUCCGGAAACGGACGCUAAUACCGCAUACGUCCUACGGGAGAAAGCAGGGGACCUUCGGGCCUUGCGCUAUCAGAUGAGCCUAGGUCGGAUUAGCUAGUUGGUGGGGUAAAGGCUCACCAAGGCGACGAUCCGUAACUGGUCUGAGAGGAUGAUCAGUCACACUGGAACUGAGACACGGUCCAGACUCCUACGGGAGGCAGCAGUGGGGAAUAUUGGACAAUGGGCGAAAGCCUGAUCCAGCCAUGCCGCGUGUGUGAAGAAGGUCUUCGGAUUGUAAAGCACUUUAAGUUGGGAGGAAGGGUCGUUACCUAAUACGUGACGAUUUUGACGUUACCGACAGAAUAAGCACCGGCUAACUCUG